rnacentral:rRNA from 1 species
AGGAUGCCGCGUGUGUGAAGAAGGCCUUCGGGUUGUUAAGCACUUUUGUCCGGAAAGAAAUGGCGCUGGUUAAUACCUGGCGUGGAUGACGGUACCGGAAGAAUAAGCACCGGCUAACUACGUGCCAGCAGCCGCGGUAAUACGUAGGGUGCGAGCGUUAAUCGGAAUUACUGGGCGUAAAGCGUGCGCAGGCGGUUUGAUAAGACAGGCGUGAAAUCCCCGAGCUUAACUUGGGAAUGGCGCUUGUGACUGUCAGGCUAGAGUAUGUCAGAGGGGGGUAGAAUUCCACGUGUAGCAGUGAAAUGCGUAGAGAUGUGGAGGAAUACCGAUGGCGAAGGCAGCCCCCUGGGACGUCACUGACGCUCAUGCACGAAAGCGUGGGGAGCAAACAGGAUUAGAUACCCUGGUAGUCCACGCCCUAAACGAUGUCAACUAGUUGUUGGGGAUUCAUUUCUUCAGUAACGUAGCUAACGCGUGAAGUUGACCGCCUGGGGAGUACGGUCGCAAGAUUAAACUCAAGGA